UGGAAGCUGUCUUUGCUGCACCAUAACCUCCUCAAGGGCAGCUCUGGAUUCACACAGUACCCAGACGUGGGCCCAGCCAGACCUGGGAUGACUGCCUGCACUUUUCUGGCCUGAUACAGGCAGCUGUGCCCUACACUUGUGAAAAGCUGAGAAAACUGCUUGGUGAGGAGUCCUGGAGAUCCUGGUAACCAGGCCAACUGAACUCUGUUCUGCUCAGCCCACUGUCUAUGCUCCCUGGAAAGGAGAAUCUUGAAGCAGAACCCAUUCUCAAUCAAUACCAAGGAUGCGAUGCAGAGGACAGAGGGCUGAUGGGGAGUUGGACAAAGAGACAGGUUCUGGCUAAAUUGCUGAGACUGACCUCAAAUUUAUAAUCCUCCUGCCUCAGCCUCCAGAGUUACUGGAAUUACAGGCAUGAGCCACCCCACCUGGUCCACUUGCUGUACCUCUUAGCCCCACCCCAUGUUACAUCCCUGAAGACAUUUUCUGAAAGCCAUUUUUUCUCCAGGGGACCCUUUCAUCCAUGACCAUUCUUUUCUAUUCCAUAGUCAUAUACAUAGUUGUUGAUUCAUAGUUAUUGCUUUUUUUUUUUUUUUGAUACUAGGGAUUGAACUCAGGGUCUCACAUGUGCUAGACAAGUAUUCUACCACUGAGCUACAUCCCCAAACCUUUUUUUUUUUAUUUUUUAAUAUUAUUUUGAGGUAGGAUCUUACUAUAUUGCUGAGGCUGCUCUUGGAUUUGUGAUCCUCCUGCCUCAGUCUCCCAAGUCGCCGCUGGUAUUACAGGCAUGCAGCUCCUUGUUUAGUUAGGAUCUCUUGUCUCCCAUUGGCUUGGGCAUCUCUUCUUCCCCUUGGACCACCCCCUGCAGCCUGUCCCACAAGGGGCUCUCCGGAGAAAGGAAGAGGGCUCCAUAGCCUGAUGGUGAAAAUCAGUAGGCCUGAGUGCCCCUGGUUUUACUUCUGCAGUUCCUCCUAUGUAUGUGAGAUUUGGUGGGGAAAGGGAACAGCUGCCUAUGAGUGAGAUCUAGAAUACUGGCAGUCUUUUAGAGCUAAGCUGGGCCUUCCUUUGGAACCUUCUUCCCAUCUCAGUAGUUACUUCUGUGCCCCUCUCACCUUUAAGGCCCCACAGAUCUCUACUGUGUCAACCUCUUGUACCACUGUGAUACGGAAAUUGGGUGUCUGCAUGAGCUCUUUCAGAAGCUGUCCUUGGACUGGGUCCUUGCAGCCUAAAAUGAGGAGAGAGCAAGACUUUCAGAGGGGGCUCAUUUUUGGUUUUGUUUUUUGAGACAAGGUGUCACUAUGUUGCUCAGGCUGACCUCAGACUCCUGGGCUCAAGUGAUCCUCUUGCCACAGCCUCCCAAGUAGCUGGGACUGCUGGCAUGUGCCACCACACCCAGGGAGGGGAGGACUCUUGACUAUUCUUUCCACACCUGUCCGAGGCAGGAUCUGCAACCCCUUCCCUGGGGGUGUCCCAACCCUCCCUCACCUCUUAUGUAUCUUCCUUUUCCUGCCUGGUAGAAAGAGAUGGCUAAGGGACUGGCAGGGAAUUUGGGGAGAGGAAGCACUAGAGCUUUGUGAUGCAUGGGUUGGGGAAGGCUCUCACCAAUGGUAGUCUCACAGAACUUCUCAUCAGCCACCUCGUUGGCAAUGUUGGCCCCCAUCAGCACGCUCAUGGGGAUGUCAAGGCGUUCCCCAAUCACUUCAGAGAUGAGCUUCAGCCCAUUGGGGCCCUCGUCUACCCCCUGGGCACAGGAUGAAGCUCAGACCAGCUGCCCUUGAUAAACCAUUUGAGGGCUUUCCACCCAGAAAUCCUACCCCUUACAAAUACACUGUUUAUCAGUGUACCUCCCCACCAGUCCUGCCCCAUUCCAAUACAGUUUGCUGUGAGGAAGGUAGACAGUGGUGAAAAACCAAUUCAUCAGAAAAGCCCUUCCAUGCACCUUCAAUAACCUACCUCUCCAAGGCAAUGUUUCUCCUCUAAAUCCCUAAAUACCUCCCUCCUUUACUGUCCCGAACCAACUGCUAGCCCAGUCACUGCUCCAAACCAGCUCCCUUGCAUACUCCUCAAUCCUCCCCACUUCUCAUAUCCUUGAAGCAUCCCUUUAUCCCUAAGGCUUCUGCCUCCAAAUGAAUCCUUAUCUACUUCCCAGCUUUCCUUCAGCUGUAACUCACUACUUUCUUAAUCCUCUCCAAAGCCAACUCCUCUCUUCUCUCUGGGAACUUUUGGCUUACUUCUGCCAUUUUCUUUUCUACUUGCUUCAUCCACCUUGAACCCCACAAUAGUUAGCUGCACGCCCCCAUCCACAUGAAGGUGUCCCUGGCACCUUAAUAAGAGACAUGCCAAUGGCGUUGGCCUUCAGGUGGCCCUUGAGCUGGUCGCAGAUCUUGCCGAUGAACUGGUGGGGCACCACAAAGAUGAGGAUGUCAGCAUCUGCUGCAGCCUGGACCACAUCUGGUAUAGCCACCUGUGGGGUAACCAGGUGGGUGCUUGUGGGUUUGGCAGACCACUGCUAGCCCCCAGGGAACUCUAUUCAGCAGUCUAGGAGCCAGAGUGAGACUAAGAAGAGGGAGAACAAAGAGUAGUUUGGGACUGAAUCUGGGAGGAUUGAACUUAGGAAAAUCCAACCUUCACUGCCCCUCUGCUUCAGCUGACCUGGAUUUCUGGAACUCUCCCCCCAGCACGCUCCUGGCCCUUGGCUAUGGGACUGUGAGGGAGGCCAAAGGCAGCCUGGGCUUGGCAGGAGGAGAAGCCAAGUAAGAUUUCAUCAUCCUGGGGCCCCAACUGGGAAGAGAGAGCCCUUUUCCUCUCUUGCUCCCCCAUUUCCAGGUGGGGAAGAGAGCUAUAUCAAUUUGACCAAAGACCAAAAGUCCAAGGAGCAGCUUCCAAAUCUGCUAAUAAUCCAGUGAAUGAGUAACAGGAUUAGAGCCUGAGGCAGGCACUGCUGGGACCCUAAAUCUGGGAGUCUGAGAACCAGUCUUUGGUUGUCAUGGAAACCAACUUAGGCACCUCUUCCCUGACUCUUCCCCCUGGAAUCCUGUAAGAAAGAGGAACUGUGCAAAUUCUCCUCAAUCCCAGAAAGUGCCCAGGGAACAGUUUGGAGUCUACAUGGGAGUGCCCUGUGCCCACAGAAGCCCUUCUGAGACACUUUUCAAGUCCAACUUGUACCUGAAGUGUUCUCUUUCAGCAGGAGGCUCCUGUAGAUAAAAUCUGGGCACUGACCAUCUGGACUUCCUCCCUUCCUUGCAGGAGGUUGAGGCUUACCACGUUUGGGGGCAGCUUGUGCCCUGGCAGGUAUUUGACAUUCUCAUGCUGAGUGUUGAUGAUCUCUGUCAGCUUUCUGCCCCCAACAUCUUCCUCAAACACCCACAUGGUCACCCGGGCGUCAAAGUGUGCUAGCUGGGCAGCAUUCGCGCCCACAAUCUUGGCAAUGGCUGAGCCCCUGGGGGUUUAGGGAAAGUACAGGAAAGUGAGGAGUGGGGUGUGAGGGAGGAAACAGCCGCAGGAGAUGGGGUAACACCUACCCACUACAGGGCCUUAUAGCAGCACUCCAGAUUAUUUUUUUCAUCACCCCCCACCCCACUCCUAUGACAAGUGAGUCUCUUGUGACCUGGCAAUAAAGGAGACUCAAGUCAGUCUCACACUUUGCUGCUGGAGAAGAGGAGCAGCCUUCUGGUUCCACUCCCCAAACCCAAGCAGCUCUUCAGGCAGAGAAGGGAGCAUUCUGUUCACUUCCAUUGAUGAACAGGUGUAACUGCCCAGGCAGGCACAGCCUGGGAGGUGGGUCAUCUGUCCUGUGCAUGUAGGCAAUGAGGACAGCAGCAGGGGACGAACAGGAACCAGAUAAAUUUUCCAACCACUUUGCCUCCUGCCCACCCAGCUUCCUUCCUUAAGCCCUCUCUUCUUGGGGGAAGCCACCCUUCCCCCAUGGUCCUUGACAGCCACUUACCAGUUGCCAGAGCCUACAAUGCAGACUUUCUUGCUGGCCAUGGUGUCACUUCUCUGCCCAAGCAGUGCCGGCUCAGAGCAUUUAACUCCGCUACCACGCAUGGGUGCAGCCAAGCCCCGCCUCCAGGGGUGGCUGAGAAGCUGGCGCCCAGGGAGAUAGAGAGUCUGACAGAACCAGGGAAAGGGUAGAGACAGGUGGGGGGGAAUGGCAAUGGGGCAGAGGCCAGGCUGGUUUUCCUCUUGGCUUUGCAGAUGACAUUGCUCGCGAAUUUCUUUGGCCCCAGCCCACUUUUCCACCCCCUUUGCAAUGGUCUCAUUUUGAGUUCUGUCAAGAAAUUGCCCAGAUAAGGACAAAGUGAUUGUCCCCCCUCACUCCCUUCUUUUCCCAGCACUGAAAUAAAUUGUAUUUAGCCCUAGUAGCAGAUUUGAGAAUGUUUUCUUUUCAAAGGUAGGAAAAGAACCUAACCCCCACUCCCAGCACAUACCCUCCUAGGACCAGAGUUGCUCUAGUUUUAUCCUCAAGCAACCCUACAGUAGCUCUAUUGCAGGGAUAUGAGGGGGUUGGUGAAUGUGGGUCCACUUCUAAGGAUGAAACCACAUAUAAGUAAGGGCCUGGUUUCUUUGAGGGCAACCCAAAGUGUACACUGCUUUUGAGAUCAAGGCUUUGAGAUUGCUACAAUUUCUCCUCUUGGGUUUUCAAGUACCACAUUAGGGGCUUCUGCAGGUUAAUACAUAGUUUGCAGAGACCAGAAAUGGAGAGGGAGAUGUGACCUGGAGCAGCAGUUUCCAAAACUCAGGAAUAGCUGGAGUUUUUUGGUCUCAGAUGCUGUGAAAGAAAGCAGGUAUCACUGGGGGACAGAGAGAAUGGCAGGAAUACCUUCAGCAGUUCAGGUUCUACAUUACCCACAGCCAUCUGUUUGACCAAGAGGAGGAGGAGCUCCAGUUUCCAGGCUUGUCUAGAGAGUGGAGCAAGAGGCUCCUAACCCUCCAAUCUCUGCACCUUGGCCUAGAGGGCAGACGACACUGUGUGCUCACAUGCUGACCUCCUGGCUUGGCAGAAUGCUCAGUGGGAGUUGCCAAACCUCUAGGCUGCCACUGGUUAGUGACAGUAAUAAGCUGUGGGCUAGAGGGGAGUCUGGGUGAAACUAGUGGGUAAGGGUAAGUGGGCAGGAGGUCAAGAGUGUGGGUUGUCCAGGGAUAGCCCAGUAAGAGCCUGCUAUAUUCACUUAUGAACAGGGAGUUCCUAUAAGGGGAACAUACAAGAAAUCGGUAGGGGUUGUCUUCCUUAAAACAAAGUUAGGCCCAAUACAGGGCUAGCCUCCCACAGACCACUCGUUCAUUGCAUUGGCACUGAGAAGAAGGUACCAGUGCCAGGCUGCCAGCUGGGAGCACUGAUUAUGGGUGAUGAAAAAGAUGUUUCUGUCCCUGGCACACAUUAGGAACUCCAAAAGAAUGGACAUUUAUGCAUAAAAAUAAUCCCCUUGUUUUUGCCUAAAUGCUUCAUUUCUCAUUUUGCCCCUAUUGUCAUUUUAGGUAGUGUGGAGACAAAGAAUUUGUUCAUUUACAUAGGAAUAAAGAGGGUGCCAAGAUUCAGAAAUGGCUUGUCACAGGAAGCUAUCUGUAUCACUAGAGCUCUUUUCCUGAGCACCAACUGUGGAUUAUUUGCUUGAAAUUAAUGAUUCAUCAGCCAUUCAUUACACAUGUAAUUAGCCUGGGUAAAAACAGAUGCCAUUUCAAUGUCCUUGACAUCAAUUUUCUCCACUCUGUUAUCACCCCCACAACUCCUCUGCUUUCCCUAUCAAGUCUGAGAAACGUCAAGUUCCAGAUUAGGAACAGUCAUUAUCUUUGGUGGGUCUCACUUAACACAAGCGAUGCUGGAGUAUUCCCAUCCAUAGAGGCAAAGGAUUUUUUUUUUUUAACUGCAACUUUAGAUGCAGUUACACUCAUCCAAUGUUCUACUCCCUCUUCUUUAACAGUAGCAGAGGAAAGCAGCGAGCCACCAAGUGGGGAGCAGGAAGAACUGCAAAAUUUCAUGGUCUUGCUAAUGAGGACUCCUACAGUUUGCAAGCUGCCCAUCUAUACUGUCAUCCCCUGAAAGGCCCCAAGCAAGACCAAGGCAGGUGCUAUGAGGCAGGCAGCACAGCACAAAUAACUGGAGCAGCCAAAUCAGGACUGUCAGAGAAGCCCUAUGUAUUCCGGAUUCCCAGGGCUUGCUCUAAUUCUUGUCGUCUCUGCUGCACCUAAGGAGAAAAGAGUGGAAAAUGAGACAGUUGAUCAGAAAUUGGUACCUAAAAUCACUGACCCCAUCGGCGGUACAUACCCCUUGUUUUUGGUCAAUUUCCCAGUGCAUCUCAAGCACCUACCUUGGAGUAAAAGUAUCGGCACACGGCCUCCUGAGCCCAAGGCUGGAAAUAGAACUCAGCUCGGCGCUCCUCCUCUGGGUUACCCACCACAUCAGUCAUGGUCUAAGCGAAAGGCAGGGGAAAGGAGAGAAGAGACUUGCUUUCUGCCUUUAUACCUCCUACUGGUCCAACUGUAUCCUCCCAAAAGAUGCUGAAAUCCUAAUCCCCCAGUGCCUGUGAAUGUGACCUCAUUUGGAAAUAGGGUCUCUGCAGAUGAUCAAGUUAAGAUGAGGUCAUUAGGUUGGCCCUAAUCCAAUAUGACUGGUAUCCUUACAAAGGGGAAAUUUGGACAUGGAGACAAAACAGGUACAGAAGGAAGAUGAUGUGAAGACACAGAGAAAACCAGCUAUAACCCCAGGGAUGCCUGAGGCCACCAGAAACUAGGAGGCCUGAAACACAUUCUCCUUACGGCCUUCAGAAGGAACCAACCUUCUUGAUCUUGAUCUCAGACUUUCAGCCUCCACAACUGUGCUGACCUCAAUUUGCAGCUAAACCUUGGGUUUUCCUGUGAGCACUGGAACUGCUCAAGCCCCUUUGCACUCCAUAACCAUGCCAAGUGCCACUUAACCCACCCUGGUUCUACACCGACUCCUCAAAGAAACAAUGCCUCUGGGAGCAGGUGGGGAUGCUAAACGCCUCUCCCUAACCCCCACCCGGGGCACAGAACCCCUCCCAAGGGAGUCCCUCCUACUUCUCCCCCACCCUUGUCACUCCCAGGGCCCCGCCCCCGGCCUGUGCGCCCCUCCUCCUGCCUCACUCACCGGAUAGGCCGCUCCGGGCAUCGGGGAGCGGUACAGCCCUUGACCCGGCGCCGGGCCCAUUCGCACGGGAGGUCCUGGGGUUCCGCCCGGGCCCAGAGCAGCCGCCGCACCCGCCCCUCCGGAGGCUCCGGCACCGCCGCUCGGAGCCACAGACUGGAAACCCGCCCGGGCCGCCAUCUUCCCGGAGCCGCCGCUGCAGCUGCACAAAGAACCGGAACCGGAACUCCCCCUGCCCCCCGCGCGCCCCCCAAGAGCCUGCCUGUUUGUGCGCCCGGCUGACCGGCGGGCAUGGGAAGCUUGGGACAGCGAGACUGUAGGCUAGAGGGGGCGACUAGCGGAAAAGGCGUGCUGACCACUCCCUCCCGCCUUCAGGGUCCGGGAGGGAAAACCAUAGAGAAGAACUGUAGGACAGAGAGGCGGCGCGAGCGGGCGCCACCAGGCCGACGGGAGGAAGCCUAGGCUCUGGGAAGGGACCACAGUCCCCGCCCCAGCCCCAACCCUGAUUCCAGCCCUCUGAGUUUGGAGUAUCGCAUCAUGUUUGUGCAGUACAUUAAACUUUUCAAGGCGCGUUAA